CCAGUGUGGUAAGUGCUGAGAUUCGGU
rnacentral:piRNA from 1 species